UACGAAGGGGGCUAGCGUUGUUCGGAUUUACUGGGCGUAAAGCGCACGUAGGCGGAUCUUUAAGUCAGAGGUGAAAUCCCAAGGCUCAACCUUGGAACUGCCUUUGAUACUGGGGAUCUUGAGUCCGGGAGAGGUGAGUGGAACUGCGAGUGUAGAGGUGAAAUUCGUAGAUAUUCGCAAGAACACCAGUGGCGAAGGCGGCUCACUGGUCCGGUACUGACGCUGAGGUGCGAAAGCGUGGGGAGCAAACAGG
rnacentral:rRNA from 1 species